rnacentral:rRNA from 1 species
UACGUAGGGCGCAAGCGUUAUCCGGAAUUAUUGGGCGUAAAGAGCUCGUAGGUGGUUUGUCGCGUUGUUCGUGAAAACUCACAGCUCAACUGUGGGCGUGCGGGCGAUACGGGCAGACUAGAGUACUGCAGGGGAGACUGGAAUUCCUGGUGUAGCGGUGAAAUGCGCAGAUAUCAGGAGGAACACCGAUGGCGAAGGCAGGUCUCUGGGCAUUAACUGACGCUGAGGAGCGAAAGCAUGGGGAGCGAAUAGG